rnacentral:rRNA from 1 species
ACGGGGUGCAGCAGGCGCGAAAACUUUACAAUGCGGGAAACCGUGAUAAGGGGACACCGAGUGCCAGCAUCAUAUGCUGGCUGUCCAGGUGUGUAAAAUACACCUGUUAGCAAGGGCCGGGCAAGACCGGUGCCAGCCGCCGCGGUAACACCGGCGGCCCGAGUGGUGAUCGUGAUUAUUGGGUCUAAAGGGUCCGUAGCCGGUUUGGUCAGUCCUCCGGGAAAUCUGACAGCUCAACUGUUAGGCUUUCGGGGGAUACUGCCAGACUUGGAACCGGGAGAGGUAAGAGGUACUACAGGGGUAGGAGUGGAAUCUUGUAAUCCCUGUGGGACCACCUGUGGCGAAGGCGUCUUACCAGAACGGGUUCGACGGUGAGGGACGAAAGCUGGGGGCACGAACCGGAUUAGAUACCCGGGUAGUCCCAGCCGUAAACGAUGCUCGCUAGGUGUCAGGCAUGGCGCGACCGUGUCUGGUGCCGCAGGGAAGCCGUGAAGCGAGCCACCUGGGAAGUACGGCCGCAAGGCUGAAACUUAAAGGAAUUGGCGGGGGAGCAC